UACGGAGGGGGCAAGCGUUGUUCGGAAUUACUGGGCGUAAAGGGCUCGUAGGCGGCCAACUAAGUCGGAUGUGAAAUCCCCAGGCUCAACCUGGGAACUGCAUCCGAUACUGGAUGGCUUGAAUUCGGGAGAGGGAUGCAGAAUUCCAGGUGUAGCGGUGAAAUGCGUAGAUAUCUGGAGGAAUACCGGUGCCGAAGGCGGCAUCCUGGACCGACAUUGACGCUGAGGAGCGAAAGCCAGGGGAGCAAACGGG
rnacentral:rRNA from 1 species